AUGUCGUACGUGCUUCAACAUCUGCACAAUGGCUGGCAGGUAGACCAGGCCAUCCUUUCGGAGGAGGACCGCGUGGUCGUCAUUCGCUUUGGACAUGACUGGGACCCCACUUGCACGAAGAUGGACAAGGUUCUGUACAGCAUCGCCGAAAAGAAAUGGAAGCUAGUGGGAGACCUUCCUCAGCUUGUAUGAGUCUGUCUGGACAUCCCAGCUGUUUUAAAGCAAAUGGUGCUGGUGUCCCACUUGUGCUCUGUGGCAUCCUCUCUGGUUGUGAGGAGUCUGACAGGCCU